GAAAUGCGAUAAGUAAUGUGAAUUGCAGAAUUCAGUGAAUCAUCGAAUCUUUGAACGCACAUUGCGCCCGCCAGUAUUCUGGCGGGCAUGCCUGUUCGAGCGUCAUUACAACCCUCAGGCCCCCGGGCCUGGCGUUGGGGAUCAGCGGAAGCCCCCUGCGGGCACAACGCCGUCCCCCAAAUACAGUGGCGGUCCCGCCGCAGCUUCCAUUGCGUAGUAGCUAACACCUCGCAACUGGAGAGCGGCGCGGCCACGCCGUAAAACACCCAACUUCUGAAUGUUGACCUCGAAUCAGGUAGGAAUACCCGCUGAACUUAAGC
rnacentral:misc_RNA from 1 species